GACGAACGCUGGCGGCGUGCCUAAUACAUGCAAGUAGAACGCUGAAGAGAGGAGCUUGCUCUUCUUGGUUGAGUUGCGAACGGGUGAGUAACGCGUAGGUAACCUGCCUUGUAGCGGGGGAUAACUAUUGGAAACGAUAGCUAAUACCGCAUAACAAUGGAUGACACAUGUCAUUUAUUUGAAAGGGGCAAUUGCUCCACUACAAGAUGGACCUGCGUUGUAUUAGCUAGUAGGUGAGGUAAUGGCUCACCUAGGCGACGAUACAUAGCCGACCUGAGAGGGUGAUCGGCCACACUGGGACUGAGACACGGCCCAGACUCCUACGGGAGGCAGCAGUAGGGAAUCUUCGGCAAUGGGGGCAACCCUGACCGAGCAACGCCGCGUGAGUGAAGAAGGUUUUCGGAUCGUAAAGCUCUGUUGUAAGCCAAGAACGGGUGUGAGAGUGGAAAGUUCACACUGUGACGGUAGCUUACCAGAAAGGGACGGCUAACUACGUG
rnacentral:rRNA from 1 species